UAGAUGAAUAGAUAGAGGGGAACAUAUUAUAGAAAGAGAGAAAGAGAGAGUAACGGACAGGGGAGAGAAAAGAAAAAAUCCCAUCAUCUUCUUCGUUAUAUCAUCAUCUUCUUCAUUUAUUCUCCAUACCAAAACACCAUUAAACUCACCCAUUUUUAAUCACAUAAAAGACCCAUAAGCUUACUCUUUAAACUUCAACAAAAAAUCAGCCUAAAACAGCCAUGUGAACGUCACUUUCACUGCUCCUUUUCUCCAUUUUUUGUCCACUAUUAAAACCUUCCAAAACCACCAUCAUAGACACCAUGAAACUCAUCUUUACACCACCGUGAAACACCUGAAACAGACCAUUAAAACACCAUAAAUUCCAGCUUUAAAAACCAUCGUCUUUCCCGUUGUUCGGUCGGGUUCGAGUGAGGUUUGUCGAGGUCCGAGGCUAGGCCCAUUUUUGUUCUGGUCUGAGAUUCUUGUCACUGUCCAUUUUUCGAGCUUUGACUUUGCUGUAUUCAGAAUGGUUUAUUGUUAGUCCAAUUUCACAAGAAUAUUUCAGCUCUGUUCGAGGAAAAGAUUCUCGGAGAGCAUAACGGAGCAAAACGGACCAAAAUAGAGUAAAAAUAGAACAAAUCAACGUUUCUGGCACCACAUGCUAAUAGCAUGUGGUGCAGCAUGUUGAACAUGCUAGCAGCAUGUGGUGCAGCACGUUGAACAUGCUAGCAGCAUGUGGUGCAGCAUCUGCUGCCAGAGAAAGUGGCACCAUGUGCGAGUAGCACAUGGCGCAGCAUGUGCAACAUGCAAGCAGCAUGUUGUGCAGCAUGUGGUGACAGAGAAAUUGUCACCAGAUGCUACGGUUUUGGCACAACAUGCGAUUAGCAUGUUGAACAUGCGAAUAACAUGUUGUGCAGCAUGUUGUGCAAGAGGGUAUUAUGGUCCAGAUGUUGUUCCCAGUUUUUGGAAUAAUAUAAAUACUCUUUUAGGGUUUGUAAUACAUAUCUUUGGCAGUUUUUUUACAAGUUUUGGAGAACUAGGUUUCUAUACCACACUUUGGGGUUGAAGAUUUGAAGAUUUGGUUGAGUAUUUCUUAAACCUUUAAUUCAUUUCUUCAAUUCCUUGCUUUGUAUUGUAUAUCUAAGUGUGUAGUAUUUAUUUCCAUUACUUGAAUCUUGUUUAUGAAAAUAUUCUUGAUUAAA